UGGGGAAUAUUGCACAAUGGGCGCAAGCCUGAUGCAGCCAUGCCGCGUGUAUGAAGAAGGCCUUCGGGUUGUAAAGUACUUUCAGUCGGGAGGAAGGUGGUAAGGUUAAUAACCUUGGCAAUUGACGUUACCGACAGAAGAAGCACCGGCUAACUCCGUGCCAGCAGCCGCGGUAAUACGGAGGGUGCAAGCGUUAAUCGGAAUUACUGGGCGUAAAGCGCACGCAGGCGGUUGAUUGAGUCAGAUGUGAAAUCCCCGGGCUUAACCCGGGAAUUGCAUCUGAUACUGGUCAGCUAGAGUCUUGUAGAGGGGGGUAGAAUUCCAUGUGUAGCGGUGAAAUGCGUAGAGAUGUGGAGGAAUACCGGUGGCGAAGGCGGCCCCCUGGACAAAGACUGACGCUCAGGUGCGAAAGCGUGGGGAGCAAACA
rnacentral:rRNA from 1 species